UUUGAAAUAAAAAAUGUAACAAGGUUUCCGUAGGUGAACCUGCGGAAGGAUCAUUACUGAUUUGCUUAAUUGCACCACAUGUGUUUUUUAUUGAACAAAUUUCUUUGGUGGCGGGAGCAAUCCUACCGCCAGAGGUUAUAACUAAACCAAACUUUUUAUUUACAGUCAAACUUGAUUUAUUAUUACAAUAGUCAAAACUUUCAACAACGGAUCUCUUGGUUCUCGCAUCGAUGAAGAACGCAGCGAAAUGCGAUACGUAAUAUGAAUUGCAGAUAUUCGUGAAUCAUCGAAUCUUUGAACGCACAUUGCGCCCUUUGGUAUUCCAAAGGGCAUGCCUGUUUGAGCGUCAUUUCUCCCUCAAACCCCCGGGUUUGGUGUUGAGCAAUACGCUAGGUUUGUUUGAAAGAAUUUAACGUGGAAACUUAUUUUAAGCGACUUAGGUUUAUCCAAAAACGCUUAUUUUGCUAGUGGCCACCACAAUUUAUUUCAUAACUUUGACCUCAAAUCAGGUAGGACUACCCGCUGAACUUAAGCAUAUCAAAGCGGGGGAGAAA
rnacentral:rRNA from 1 species